rnacentral:rRNA from 1 species
AACGAACGCUGGCGGCAUGCCUAACACAUGCAAGUCGAACGAGACCUUCGGGUCUAGUGGCGCACGGGUGCGUAACGCGUGGGAACCUGCCCUUAGGUUCGGAAUAACUCCCCGAAAGGGGUGCUAAUACCGGAUAAUGUCUUCGGACCAAAGAUUUAUCGCCUUUGGAUGGGCCCGCGUUGGAUUAGCUAGUUGGUAGGGUAAAAGCCUACCAAGGCGACGAUCCAUAGCUGGUCUGAGAGGAUGAUCAGCCACACUGGGACUGAGACACGGCCCAGACUCCUACGGGAGGCAGCAGUGGGGAAUAUUAGACAAUGGGCGAAAGCCUGAUCCAGCAAUGCCGCGUGAGUGAUGAAGGCCUUAGGGUUGUAAAGCUCUUUUACCCGGGAUGAUAAUGACGGUACCGGGAGAAUAAGCACCGGCUAACUCCGUG